rnacentral:ncRNA from 15 species
GACAAUUUGUCCGAGUGGUUAAGGAGGAAGACUAGAAAUCUUUUGGGUUUACCCGCGCAGGUUCGAAUCCUGCAGUUGUCG